AGCCAGUUCACCUCCUGCUGCCUAAUGAAUGCAGAACUCUGAGCUCCUCCACCACCAUGUCUGUCUGCGUGCUACCAUGUUUCCUAAGAUGAUAAUGGACUAAACCUCUGAACCUGCCAAGAAUUCCCAGUAUCUUCCCGUUCAAUUCUGUCCCGUGAACUUCUUCCGGUCCCAUUUGCCAUCUUUCAUCGAAGCCGUCGCCUGGAGAAUCUGCCUGGCCAGACACAUGAUCAUCCCACAGACCUUGAGGCCAUAUGCUCCUGUCCCAUCUCUGGUUUGUGGGGUGAUUUCUGAUCUGCAUUGUGACUCCUAAGCAACCAGCCAUGCACCCUGGAUCCCCUGCAGCCCCUGGGGUCUCUGAGCCUGGACCCCGAGAGCUGUGUGCCUUUGUGAGUGGGGCUUCGGCCCACAUGCUGCGGGCCCUGCAACCCAGGCGUAUUCGGCCCUCCAAACGCAGACCCAACCACCGGAGGUUUCUACACAACCAGAUCUGCAGGUAAGUGGUGCUGGGAAGAGGCACAGGGUGGACACCGGGAAAACCUCAGGCUGAUUUUAG
rnacentral:lncRNA from 1 species